CGUCAUACAGAAUAAGCAAACUCAAAAACCCUGCGCAGCCAAAGCAUUCUUGACAGCCAGUGCCGUGCUUAGCUUUAUAUUUAAGAGUGUAGGCUACGUCAGUGACCUCCUGAUGCAGUUUGUCAUCCGUGUACCUCCGAAACACUCAAGAAUGAAGCUCAUACUACAGGCGUGAUUGAUCGCCGUUGUCACACCUCCAGAGCUCCACACACUCCGACAGAUGGGUUUCAUGCAGCAAGAAGUCGCUUCAGUGUGGAAACAAUAGCGAUUCUUACAACGGCAGCCGCUCCAGCAUCUCGUCCUUCACCUGUUUUGGAUUUUUACGGCUCACGGCCCAACAAUUACACAGACUUCAGUGGAUAAGAGGUAAUGAUUUACAGGGUUUCAGUUUUGAGAGGAAUUCAAAUAAUGGGAUCUCACAGGACAAUGGCAAAGAUUUAGCUAUGACUUUCCAGCCUUGGAUAGCU
rnacentral:lncRNA from 12 species